rnacentral:lncRNA from 1 species
GGAAAAUCCAGACAGAAAUGUUUACUGGCUGGAGCAACUUCAUGAACCAGGGACACUGGAAGGCUGGAUAUGCAAUAGUCACUCAUCAGGAGGUCCUAGAAGCAGAAGCCCUCCCUCCAGGGCUGCAGUGUUGGAAUACUCAUUCAGAGACUGUGAAGCCUCCGCGGGAGUCCAUGUGUGAACUUGUGGACGGACAUGUGGAGGUGGCCGACAAGGAAGGAAGCACACGGUGUUAACUUCUUCGUCAAGAGACACAAGAAAGAAAGUUUGAAUUCUGUUAUUAAAACUUAUAAAGUGACUACAAACAGACAUAAAGAUAAUGAUAUCAG